AGCGAGGUAGGGUAGUCAGGAUAUCCCGCCGGGCUCAUAACCCGGAGAUCGAUGGUUCAAAUCCAUUCCUCGCUA
rnacentral:tRNA from 1 species